rnacentral:rRNA from 1 species
UACGGAGGGUGCAAGCGUUAUCCGGAUUCACUGGGUUUAAAGGGUGCGUAGGUGGGCAGGUAAGUCAGUGGUGAAAUCUCCGAGCUUAACUCGGAAACUGCCGUUGAUACUAUUUGUCUUGAAUAUUGUGGAGGUAAGCGGAAUAUGUCAUGUAGCGGUGAAAUGCAUAGAUAUGUCACAGAACACCAAUUGCGAAGGCAGCUUACUAAAGUAUGAUUGACGCUGAGGCACGAAAGCGUGGGGAUCAAACAGG